rnacentral:rRNA from 1 species
AGUGAACGCUGGCGGUAGGCCUAACACAUGCAAGUCGAACGGCAGCACAGUAAGAGCUUGCUCUUACGGGUGGCGAGUGGCGGACGGGUGAGGAAUACAUCGGAAUCUACUUUUUCGUGGGGGAUAACGUAGGGAAACUUACGCUAAUACCGCAUACGACCUACGGGUGAAAGCAGGGGAUCUUCGGACCUUGCGCGAUUGAAUGAGCCGAUGUCGGAUUAGCUAGUUGGCGGGGUAAAGGCCCACCAAGGCGACGAUCCGUAGCUGGUCUGAGAGGAGGAUCAGCCACACUGGAACUGAGACACGGUCCAGACUCCUACGGGAGGCAUCAGUGGGGAAUAUUGGACGAUGGGCGCAAGCCUGAUCCAGCCAAACCGCGUGGGUGAAGAAGGCCUUCGGGUUGUAAAGCCCUUUUGUUGGGAAAGAAAAGCAGCAGGUUAAUACCCCGCUGUUCUGACGGUACCCAAAGAAUAAGCACCGGCUAACUUCGUG